GUCUCCAAUUUAUUUGAAUGGCUUUUAAGAAGCAGAAGGCCAGGUUGUAACAUGAGGUGUAGGACAAGCAUGAGCAGUGAGAGGGAUCCACGCUGACAAGCACGUAGCACCCUUUGUCAUGGGACUGGGUGAACGCGCUAGGAAAAGCAUGGGCAGUCUCAGCACAGGCAAAGGAAGUCCCUAGAUGAAGAAGCACAAGCUCCACCUGCUUAAGGAGGCACUUAAGAGGUUUACCGUGGAGAGCAACCCAGAGAAGCUAGAUUAGAAGGAAAACCAGGGCAGCCCAUGUUUAUAAAAGACAGAAGUAGAGCAAAUGGUAUAAAAUAGGGCUUCUGACAGGUAGAUACAAGCACAUUAAUGUGUAGAGGUUUCAUCUGACUUGUUUUUUUGUUGGUGGGGGGACAUUUAUUCCUCCAUAUCCACAGCAUGCAGAAGUUCCCGGGACUUAAAACCCCCACCACAGCAGUGACAACACUGAAUCCUUAACCACUAAGGCCACCAGGGAACUCCAGAGGCUUCAUUUUAAAUACUGUUCUAAAUUGAGGGUAUCGAGAUGCUUUUCAGUAGAAACUUGAAUUAAGGACAUGUGUGCUAUUAAGUUAAUAAAGAAGUUUGUCUGUACACAGUUUAAAACAGGGGAUGAGCGUGGUUAUCUCCAAGGUCUCAAAAAGAUCCAAACUCUGUGAGUCUGAGUGUAACAUCCUCACCCUCAGAGUUUCUUGGGUCUGAAAAACCCGAUUCACUGGGCCUGGGCCAGAGGGUGCAAACUGGAAAUUCAAAGGCUGGAUUUAGCCUGCAAGAUGUGUUUUAUUUGGCAUGCACAGUGUUUUCUCAAUUCAAAAUAGUUGCCAACAUUGAAAAGUCCAGAUUUCCAGCUUCUCUUGGAAAACGGGGUGGAACAUCCGGCAACAGCAGCCCACAUUCCCACACGGCAGCAACCGUGUCAGACGACAGCAUAUGUGUUGUCCGUUUUGCAACUAUCCUUACCUAAUCCUCUUUGCUCAUUGACGUCUCCUGCCCGACACCAGAGUUUGUGGCCUGGUCAGGGUGUCCAGUCUAUGUGGAUCUCAUGAUUUUCUACCUGGUGCAGCUACAAGCAUAGCCUUGGGGCUUUUACCCUAAUUCUGUAGCUGACCCAUCUUAACAGUUGGCCCAUGUAGGUGUAUUCACCUGCAGGCCAGGAGUGUGGGAGCCAAGGGUCCCAUCUGCAGAGUUUUGGUUUAUCUUACAGUAACUGAAAAGUUGCCAGUUCGAUUUCAGUUUUGUAAACUGAAUCCCAGAGGCCUCUUGGGGAUGGCUCAUCAGGCAGAUACUUCCUGAUCAAGGCCAAGGGUAAGUCACUUCUGGGCCAGACUAGAACACCCAAGCAGAGGAAGGAAUCCCAGUCUAGGCUGGGCUGGGCCAGGAAGGCAGGAAAGAAGGCAGCUUUCCUAGCCAUGGCCAUGAGGUGACCAGGGCAGCUAUGUACAGUUAGGUUUUAAAGGUGCCAAGGAGGUGUCACUCACACCUCCUUGAUAUGGCUCUAUUUGCAUUUGCACAGUGCACUGUCUGCUCAACUGUACAUGUGGGCCCCAAGACUGUCAAGGGGAGGGAAGAAACAAAUAGAGAUGGUGAGGCAAGUGCAGCCAAAAGUGAUUCUACCAGUUUGUCCCCAAGACUGCAGGGAUGAGGGGUGGAAGGCAGAGGGUUAGAAGCCAAGACCCUGCUGGCCAGAGACUAAAAGCUGGAGAGAUAGAAAAGGGGCCUGGCCUCAGAGGACCCCACACUGCACAUGCGUAAAUGCCCAUGAGAUGAUAGGAAGAGCCAGCAGUAAUCCCAGGAAGCAGGGCUGGCCAUCAGUACGUGGGGCCCAGGACCCUUACUUAACAGAGAUAACCGUCCUGCGCGCGCGCGCGCGCGCGCACACACACACACACACACACACACACAGACAUCAGCAGAGAUAUCUGCCUAUUACACACACCCACAAAAACAUGCACACAUGCAGUUUUUACCCUGUUGCACACUCACAUGAAAUGUGCCUAUACAAGCAAUCACAGUGAUUGUUGGUAAGAGCAAUCAGCUCACCACACAGGUAUGUUAGCAAACAUUUCCAGAGCACCGAAAGUCCUUUUUGUCCAAGCUACCUGCAGGCGUCCAGCACAGCACCAAGUAACGUGGAAGGAGAGAAAAAUAACAACCAGUGAAAUAUAACUGUUACUGAAGCCAGCAGCUGAGCCUUGGCCUGCAGCGCCACCUACUGGUAGGAGGGGUACUUUGUACUUUGCUUGAAGAUUGGGUGAAACCUGGGACACUGCUUCUCAGGCAGCUCCUUCUAAGAAAGUCACCAACAAGAUGCUCUUCUCCUUCCUCUUUGUGUUCUGUCCGAGUGGGGUGAGACCCUGGAAUCCUUGGGGUUUCAGCACAGCAAUGGAGAAUGAAUUUUCAGGGCCUCACACACUGCCCCUGGAGAGCAAUAUCCAACACCAACAGAGACGGCAAAUAGGCUCUUCGUCGCUCAUGCCAGCUCCAACCCACUAGUAGUGGCUGGCUGGAAUGCUGGGUCAAGGAGGAUCCUGAGGCCAAGUCUGGGCUUCACAUGGAAGACUGCCAUGAUGGAACAGCGCCAGCCACCACGGCUGUGGGCAGGACUACUUCUACACGUGCCAGUCCCUAAAUCUGAUUUCUCCAGAUCCACACUUCCACCGUGAUGGGGUAUGUAUGUGUUUAUUGCUCACUACCUCACCGCACAAGAAAACUGCCAUUUCUGACUUUACCAGAGUUUUACCUCUCACUUGAUCGGUAACUUCUGAGCCGGCUACUGUCUUCCUUUGGGACCAUCUUCGUGAAGAGCUUCUUCUUGCUUCCACAGGGAGCAUAUGGAUGACUCGUUAGAUCUGAGUCCUUUUUUUCUUUUUUGUCUUUUGGGCUGCAUCCAUGGCAUGUGGAAGUUCCCAGGCUAGGGGUCAAGUUGGAGCUGUAGGUGCCAGCUUACACCACAGCCACAGCAACGCCAAGAUUCAAGCUGCAUCCGCAACUACACCAAAGCUCGCGGCAAUGCUGGAUCCUUUAACCCACUGAGUGAGGCCAGGGAUGGAACUCGCAUCCUCAUGGAUACUAGUUGGGUUCUUAACAACAGGAACUCCCAGAUCUGAGCCCGUAAGUCCGCAUGGGGCACUUCACUUUAUCCAAAACUAAUAUUUAGCUAAGGCACAUCCAAAAGCACUUAUUACUUCCCAAGAGGCCCUGAGAGGGCAAUGACGAGCUGAGAACAGCAGAGCCAUGCCAAGCAGAUGCUGGACAGCAUGCUAGGCUCAGCCCUCGCCAGGGGUCCCACUCCCUGCCCCUCACCCAGCAGCUUGGGAGAGCACACUCAAAUCAAAUGCAUGCAUCAACAUUCCAAAUUACAACGGGCCACAGGUCACUUGAACACCAUCAAACCUUGAAAUCUUCAAUCCCCAGAUGCCAAGGGUCUGCUGUGUUUAGCAUCAAGGUUCUCAGUUGGUGCCUGUAAUCCCAGCCUGCAGAUGGGCACGGAACCCCCUCGUGCUGCCCCCUCUGCAGCUGAGCCAGCCUCUACCUCCAAAUGUUUAGGUGGAUGGAAGCUGGUUUCCCCACAGGUGGGGGAUGUUUGCCUUAACCCAGGGGGUCAGCAGACUUUUUCCGCAAAGAGCCAGAGAAAUAUUCCCAGCUCCUUGGUCUCUGUUGAAACGGUUCAACUCUGACACUGAAUUCAAAAGCCCAAGACCUAUGUAAACAAAUGGGCAUGGCUAUAUUCCAAUAAAAGCUUCUUUACAAAGAUAGGGGUGGGCUCGAUUUGGCCCAAGGAGCCACAGUUUGCCAAACCCAGCAUCGGCCCAGUAUAAACUGGGGUUGUCUGGAGGUACUUCAGGGCUCUGCAAAGGUUUGGCCUUCGUUUCAGUUCUUAGCUCUUUAGGAAGCUGGUAACAAAAAUGUACCCAUUUAAGUCUAUCAUGGCAUUUUAACGUACAAGAAGUCAACAUGUUGAGAGACUGUGAGCUGAACACCUUUGCUGUGAAGCUCUUUUGGCCACUUCUCUGCACAUGGAUGGGCCAUAUGGUGGAAGAGUUGAGCAACUGAGUCUCAGCAUCAGACACACGUGAGCUUGAGUCCUCCUGCUGCCACUUAUUAGCUGUGUGACUUUGGGCAACUGACGUUACCUCUCUCAACCAGCAUGGCCACAGGGCACCACCAAACAGAGCAGACACUGGCCACCAUGCUGGCACGGCCUCCUAGAGGCCCUUUGUUCCUGGGUUGUAGGAAGAUGGAGGGGCCAGGGUGGCUGAGGCUGUGGGGGGCUGAAAUGUUCAUUUAUGGUUUCAAUAAUAGUUUGGACACUGGCGUCUCUCAUGGCCCAGGGCUGUCCAAAUCUAUUAACAGUGCUCCAGUGAAAUACACAGAUUUGCUACACCUUAUUUUGCUGCUUCCCACAUCAUACUCUCCUGCUUCCUGAGACAGCCGGCAGAAUCAACGAUGUUUCUUGAGAGGCCCCUGGGGCAGGACCUCUUGGUAUCUGAAUCUCUGGGAUUCAUCUUAAUUAGGUGACAUCCGGUGCUGCCCUCACAGUGCAUGUGUCCACCCCAGGGGUUGAGUUUCCUCUCUCACUUCCUUUUCAUUUCCUCGAAGCUCUUCUUAAGUCUUGCAGCAUCUCUGGCCAAGCCUAGAGCUUUGGCAGAGGGAAGAUCUCCCAGCCAGGCCCUCUGCCUGAGGUCUCCUCUGUUGGCCAGAAGGGUCGUGACUGUUGAUGGCAAUGGCCUUGUGCAAAGGCAUCCUUGUCACUUGCACUUCCCCUGAUAAGGUGUCCACAGCCGCGGCCUUUGUCCAGCCACCCGGCACAGCGUUGCCCACCACAACAGCCAACCUCUCGGUGGCUCCAGCACUGACAGAGGAAGCCCAGCCAGGGACUCUUCUCACCCAAACUGUUGCUCAUUUCGCUUUGUUCUCCCUCCUGGACUAUCUUCCUGACACGACCAUCUGCCCUACACUGCCCAGAACCUGUGCCCCUUCAGACCCUGGGCCGAGUCCUCAAAAGAACACAGGUCAGGCCCCAGGUAGCCUGUCAGCCCUUCUCCUGUCCCCCGCCAGCGUUCCAGCUCCCCUGCACACACCUCCAGGCUCCUGCCCCCUCCGAUGAUACCUUUGGCUUUCUUCAUCAAGAUGUCACGGCUAGGACCAGAUGUCACAGCUAGGACUCUCCAAGGGCACUGGGCAAUCCGAUCCCAUCACGACAUCUGCUCACCCCUUUGGGUCUUCCUGAGGGAGCCACCUCCCUCUGAGAGAGCCAGGCUGGUCAGCAAAGGAGGAGGCUGUCAAGCAGUGAGAAUCCUUCCCUGCAAGUGGUGACAAAGGGGCUGCAGGGGCUCCUGCAGGGAUGGAGAGUUUGCCAAUGCACCGCAGGGGAAGGCCACCUCUUCCUGGAGUCCCUGGCACAGCAUCUUAGUGACAAACAGCUCACUACCUUCACCCACAAUUCCACACAUUUCAGCUCCUUCCUCUCUAAGCGGUCACUGCCUCAGACCAGACCUCCCCACGCCUCCUUUAUCUCUCCAGGCAGCCCUUCCCUUGGGCUCAGCCUGAACGACUUCCCAUUUCAGCCACUGAGCUUUCUUCCCCUGCAUUUGAGCUCACAACAGUAAACCCCAAGUCUCUACCCCCUCCCCCGCUAGCAGAGCUGCUUGGCAGUCCAGCAGGGUGCAGUCACCGAGGGAGUGAGGGUUGAGGUGAGGGGGUUGGCGGGCAGGAACAACUGAGCUUUGGCUUAAAAGCAAAAGCAGAGGAAGCACUAGCAGGCCCACUAAAGCUCCUUCCCAGGGAGGGCCUGCAGUGCCCCCUGGUGGCCAGAGGAGAGUUUGCAUGCAGGUUAAGUUCUUCCAUUCCCCCCGCCUUCCCCCCCCCCCCCCCCCCCCCCCCCCCCCCCCCGCCCCCCCCGGACCCCUGAGGACUCAGAUGAGGGGAUGGCAGGAAGCAGAUAGAUCAUCUUGCCCAGUGGUUUCCAAACGUGUAAAAUUGUAGGGAAGGUUGCUGUGGAUGACCGUGCGUCUUGCCCAUUUGACAAAGGCCUCUGGGCUGAGGCGUCAGUAGGGGCUGAAAUCUCGCCUAUGUCCUGCUAACCAAGCUGGGUACCCCAGCAUGGUCUGGGUCACCCAGAGGAAGGGGCGUCUUUUCAUGAUCAUUCUGGAGACAGUGUCCUUCUGCGAUUUGUACCAAGGUGCCAAAUAUACCAGGAGCAGCCCUGGCCCAGAAUGCUUCCUCCCAAGAGGGUAAUCUUAGAAAACCAAGCUUCUGUAGCUAAAGGAGAGUUUGAAAACCACCUAAAAGAUGGGGAAACUGACUCAUCAAGCAGUGAGGGUUCUCCCCUGGAAGUGGUGACAAAGAGGUUGCAGGGGCUCCUGCAGGGGUGGAGAGCUAGCCAGUGCACCGCAGGGAGAGGUCACCUCAUCCUGGAGUCUGUUGCAAGGGAACUUAAGGUCAUGCACUGAAUGCCAAGACAGAGCUUAGAAGCCAGAUCCCUUCUUUCUCCAAGCAGCGUUCUUUAUACUACACUGAGCUAGUCUCAUAACCCCCCUUUUGAGGCAUCCUGGCUGCUCUGAC
rnacentral:lncRNA from 1 species